GGGUUGUGAGGUUAAGCGACUAAGCGUACACGGUGGAUGCCCUGGCAGUCAGAGGCGAUGAAGGACGUGCUAAUCUGCGAAAAGCGUCGGUAAGGUGAUAUGAACCGUUAUAACCGGCGAUGUCCGAAUGGGGAAACCCAGUGUGAUUCGUCACACUAUCGUUAACUGAAUACAUAGGUUAACGAGGCGAACCGGGGGAACUGAAACAUCUAAGUACCCCGAGGAAAAGAAAUCAACCGAGAUUCCCCCAGUAGCGGCGAGCGAACGGGGAGCAGCCCAGAGUCUGAAUCAGCUUGUGUGUUAGUGGAACGGUCUGGAAAGUCCGACGGUACAGGGUGAUAGUCCCGUACACCAAAAUGCACAGGCUGUGAACUCGAAGAGUAGGGCGGGACACGUGGUAUCCUGUCUGAAUAUGGGGGGACCAUCCUCCAAGGCUAAAUACUCCUGACUGACCGAUAGUGAACCAGUACCGUGAGGGAAAGGCGAAAAGAACCCCGGCGAGGGGAGUGAAAAAGAACCUGAAACCGUGUACGUACAAGCAGUGGGAGCACCUUCGGGUGUGACUGCGUACCUUUUGUAUAAUGGGUCAGCGACUUAUAUUCUGUAGCAAGGUUAACCGUAUAGGGGAGCCGCAGGGAAACCGAGUCUUAACUGGGCGUUAAGUUGCAGGGUAUAGACCCGAAACCCGGUGAUCUAGCCAUGGGCAGGUUGAAGGUUGGGUAACACUAACUGGAGGACCGAACCGACUAAUGUUGAAAAAUUAGCGGAUGACUUGUGGCUGGGGGUGAAAGGCCAAUCAAACCGGGAGAUAGCUGGUUCUCCCCGAAAGCUAUUUAGGUAGCGCCUCGUGAACUCAUCUUCGGGGGUAGAGCACUGUUUCGGCUAGGGGGUCAUCCCGACUUACCAACCCGAUGCAAACUACGAAUACCGAAGAAUGUUAUCACGGGAGACACACGGCGGGUGCUAACGUCCGUCGUGAAGAGGGAAACAACCCAGACCGCCAGCUAAGGUCCCAAAGUCAUGGUUAAGUGGGAAACGAUGUGGGAAGGCACAGACAGCCAGGAUGUUGGCUUAGAAGCAGCCAUCAUUUAAAGAAAGCGUAAUAGCUCACUGGUCGAGUCGGCCUGCGCGGAAGAUGUAACGGGGCUAAACCAUGCACCGAAGCUGCGGCAGCGACACUAUGUGUUGUUGGGUAGGGGAGCGUUCUGUAAGCCUGCGAAGGUGUGCUGUGAGGCAUGCUGGAGGUAUCAGAAGUGCGAAUGCUGACAUAAGUAACGAUAAAGCGGGUGAAAAGCCCGCUCGCCGGAAGACCAAGGGUUCCUGUCCAACGUUAAUCGGGGCAGGGUGAGUCGACCCCUAAGGCGAGGCCGAAAGGCGUAGUCGAUGGGAAACAGGUUAAUAUUCCUGUACUUGGUGUUACUGCGAAGGGGGGACGGAGAAGGCUAUGUUAGCCGGGCGACGGUUGUCCCGGUUUAAGCAUGUAGGCUGGUUGUCCAGGCAAAUCCGGAUAAUCAAGGCUGAGGUGUGAUGACGAGGCACUACGGUGCUGAAGUAACAAAUGCCCUGCUUCCAGGAAAAGCCUCUAAGCAUCAGGUAACAUUAAAUCGUACCCCAAACCGACACAGGUGGUCAGGUAGAGAAUACCAAGGCGCUUGAGAGAACUCGGGUGAAGGAACUAGGCAAAAUGGUGCCGUAACUUCGGGAGAAGGCACGCUGGUGUGUAGGUGAAGUCCCUGCGGAUGGAGCUGAGACCAGUCGAAGAUACCAGCUGGCUGCAACUGUUUAUUAAAAACACAGCACUGUGCAAACACGAAAGUGGACGUAUACGGUGUGACGCCUGCCCGGUGCCGGAAGGUUAAUUGAUGGGGUUAUCCGUAAGGAGAAGCUCUUGAUCGAAGCCCCGGUAAACGGCGGCCGUAACUAUAACGGUCCUAAGGUAGCGAAAUUCCUUGUCGGGUAAGUUCCGACCUGCACGAAUGGCGUAAUGAUGGCCAGGCUGUCUCCACCCGAGACUCAGUGAAAUUGAACUCGCUGUGAAGAUGCAGUGUACCCGCGGCAAGACGGAAAGACCCCGUGAACCUUUACUAUAGCUUGACACUGAACAUUGAGCCUUGAUGUGUAGGAUAGGUGGGAGGCUUUGAAGCGUGGACGCCAGUCUGCGUGGAGCCAACCUUGAAAUACCACCCUUUAAUGUUUGAUGUUCUAACGUUGGCCCCUGACCGGGGUUGCGGACAGUGUCUGGUGGGUAGUUUGACUGGGGCGGUCUCCUCCCAAAGCGUAACGGAGGAGCACGAAGGUUAGCUAAUCCUGGUCGGACAUCAGGAGGUUAGUGCAAUGGCAUAAGCUAGCUUGACUGCGAGCGUGACGGCGCGAGCAGGUGCGAAAGCAGGUCAUAGUGAUCCGGUGGUUCUGAAUGGAAGGGCCAUCGCUCAACGGAUAAAAGGUACUCCGGGGAUAACAGGCUGAUACCGCCCAAGAGUUCAUAUCGACGGCGGUGUUUGGCACCUCGAUGUCGGCUCAUCACAUCCUGGGGCUGAAGUAGGUCCCAAGGGUAUGGCUGUUCGCCAUUUAAAGUGGUACGCGAGCUGGGUUUAGAACGUCGUGAGACAGUUCGGUCCCUAUCUGCCGUGGGCGCUGGAGAAUUGAGGGGGGCUGCUCCUAGUACGAGAGGACCGGAGUGGACGCAUCACUGGUGUUCGGGUUGUCAUGCCAAUGGCACUGCCCGGUAGCUAAAUGCGGAAGAGAUAAGUGCUGAAAGCAUCUAAGCACGAAACUUGCCCCGAGAUGAGUUCUCCCUGAGACUUUAAGUCUCCUGAAGGAACGUUGAAGACGACGACGUUGAUAGGCCGGGUGUGUAAGCGCAGCGAUGCGUUGAGCUAACCGGUACUAAUGAACCGUGAGGCUUAACCUUACAACGCCGAAG
rnacentral:rRNA from 2 species